CAGAAUGAUAAAACCGGGAGAAGCUGCACCAGACUGUCCAGAAUAGGAAGCAGCAAAGUAUCUGCCGGAACCAUCUGCCA